rnacentral:rRNA from 1 species
AGAGUUUGAUCCUGGCUCAGAUUGAACGCUGGCGGAAUGCUUUACACAUGCAAGUCGAGCGGCAGCGCGGGGCAACCUGGCGGCGAGCGGCGAACGGGUGAGUAAUGCAUCGGAACAUGUCCAUUCGUGGGGGAUAGCCCGGCGAAAGCCGGAUUAAUACCGCAUAAGCCCUUAGGGGGAAAGCCGGGGACCGCAAGGCCUGGCGCGAAUGGGUUGGCCGAUGCCCGAUUAGCUAGUUGGUGAGGUAAAGGCUUACCAAGGCGAUGAUCGGUAGCUGGUCUGAGAGGAUGAUCAGCCACACUGGGACUGAGACACGGCCCAGACUCCUACGGGAGGCAGCAGUGGGGAAUUUUGGACAAUGGGGGCAACCCUGAUCCAGCCAUUCCGCGUGAGUGAAGAAGGCCUUCGGGUUGUAAAGCUCUUUUGUCCGGAGCGA